rnacentral:rRNA from 1 species
GGCGGACGGCUGAGUAACGCGUAGGAACGUACCCCAAAGUGAGGGAUAAGCACCGGAAACGGUGUCUAAUACCGCAUAUGGUCUUCGGAUUAAAGCAGCAAUGCGCUAUGGGAACGGCCUGCGUCGGAUUAGCUAGUUGGUGAGGUAAUGGCUCACCAAGGCGACGAUCCGUAGCUGGUCUGAGAGGAUGAUCAGCCAGACUGGAACUGAGACACGGUCCAGACUCCUACGGGAGGCAGCAGUUAGGAAUCUUCCACAAUGGGGGCAACCCUGAUGGAGCAACACCGCGUGCUGGAUGAAGGCCUUCGGGUCGUAAACAGCUUUUGUAUACGAAGAAUAUGACGGUAAUAUACGAAUAAGGGUCGGCUAACUACGUGCCAGCAGCCGCGGUCAUACGUAGGACCCAAGCGUUAUCCGGAGUGACUGGGCGUAAAGAGUUGCGUAGGCGGCUUAUUAAGCGAGUAGUGAAAUCUGGUGGCUCAACCAUCAACACAUUGCUCGAACUGAUAGGCUUGAGAAUGGUAGAGGUAGUUGGAAUUUCUUGUGUAGGAGUGAAAUCCGUAGAUAUAAGAAGGAACACCAAUGGCGUAGGCAGACUACUGGACCAUUUCUGACGCUGAGGCACGAAAGCGUGGGGAGCGAACCGGAUUAGAUACCCGGGUAGUCCACGCCGUAAACGAUGGAUGCUAGCUGUGGGGGGUAUCGACCCCCUCCGUAGCGAAGCUAACGCGUUAAGCAUCCCGCCUGUGGAGUACGGGCCGCAAGGCUAAAACAUAAAGGAAUUUG